GUGUGGUAGUAGAGGAGGUAGUUAGCUCUGUGAUGCGUGUGGUAGUAGAGGGGGUAGUUAGCUCUGUGAUGCGUGUGGUAGUAGAGGAGGUAGUUAGCUCUGUGAUGCGUGUGGUAGUAGAGGAGGUAGUUAGCUGUGUGAUGCGUGUGGUAGUAGAGGGGGUAGUUAGCUGUGUGAUGCGUGUGGUAGUAGAGGAGGUAGUUAGCUCUGUGAUGCGUGUGGUAGUCGAGGAGG